GGGUCCCGGCGAGCCGGUGAAGGAGCCCGGCGAAGAGGUGCCGGAGCCGGGGGACGGGGUGCCGGAGGAGCCCAGGGCAGAGCCAGCUCCCUCCGGGGCCGGGCGACUCCCCGCCCGGGACUCCUCAUAUGCCUUCCGAAACAGCAAGAUCCAGAGCAGGAGCAUUCCCCCCGUCCACAGCUCUCCUCCGCAGGCGAGGCAAAGCAUCCAAGCUUUGCAGUGUCUGCUACUGUCCCUGGUGUUCAUUUACCUGUUUUAAAGAGUAAGUUCCUGGGAAAGAUCCCCUGCCUCAACUAAUUCACUGUGUUAUGCUGGAGAAGUGGUACAGAGAUCUCACCAAGAAGUGCAUCCUGUAUUAUAUUACUUUGCCAAAAGAGGUUGCAUCCCAUCGUGAUUUGGAAGAUGCAAAAAAAAAAAAAGUUUCAGUCAUUUAUGUGAGAAAAUCCAAAGGACACAUUUCCACAUGCCCCCUUUCUUCAUGGCCGCUCAGUUCUACCCCAUGGAGCCACAAGAUUUCCGUGAGAACACCUUCUUGAAAGCCCAAUAGCACAUUGCCAAUAGGAAAUGAAGAGGAAGAACGUCUUUCUUCGCAUCGGUGUAAAACCAAUGCUUGUGUGCUUUCAACAGUUCCAUUUACCUCUGU